CAGAACAUAGCUAAAAUAUAGCACUUCCUUUACUCUGAAGAGUUACUUGAUCGUACAGGUUGUUCUGA
rnacentral:tRNA from 1 species